rnacentral:rRNA from 1 species
UACGAAUGGGGCAAGCGUUGUUCGGAAUCACUGGGCUUAAAGCGUAUGUAGGCGGAAUCGUAAGUCAGAAGUGAAAUCCUGGGGCUCAACCCUAGAACUGCUUUUGAAACUACGAUUCUAGAAUCCUGGAGAGGUUAGGAGAAUUCCGAGUGUAGAGGUGAAAUUCGCAGAUAUUCGGAGGAAUACCAGUGGCGAAGGCGCCUAACUGGACAGGUAUUGACGCUCAGAUACGAAAGCAUGGGGAGCAAACAGG